GACGAACCGUGCGAACGUUAUUCGGAAUCACUGGGCUUAAAGCGCGUGUAGGCGGAUGGGUAUGUCGGUCGCUGAAAUCCCCCGGCUCAACCGGGGAACGGGCGCCGAAACGACCCGUCUGGAGGGACGUAGGGGGACCUGGAACUUCCGGUGGAGCGGUGAAAUGCGUUGAGAUCGGAAGGAACGCCCGUGGCGAAAGCGAGGUCCUGGACGUCUACUGACGCUGAGACGCGAAAGCUAGGGUAGCGAACGGG
rnacentral:rRNA from 1 species